CCUACGGGUGGCUGCAGUAGGGAAUCUUCCGCAAUGGACGAAAGUCUGACGGAGCAACGCCGCGUGAGCGAAGAAGGUCUUCGGAUCGUAAAGCUCUGUUGUUAGGGACGAUAAUGACGGUACCUGAGGAGGAAGCUCCGGCUAACUACGUGCCAGCAGCCGCGGUAAUACGUAGGGAGCAAGCGUUGUCCGGAUUUACUGGGUGUAAAGGGUGCGUAGGCGGCCCUGCAAGUCAGGUGUGAAAACUAUGGGCUUAACUCAUAGAUUGCACUUGAAACUGUGGGGCUUGAGUGAAGUAGAGGCAGGCGGAAUUCCCGGUGUAGCGGUGAAAUGCGUAGAGAUCGGGAAGAACACCAGUGGCGAAGGCGGCCUGCUGGGCUUUAACUGACGCUGAGGCACGAAAGCGUGGGUAGCAAACAGGAUUAGAUACCCUUGUAGUC
rnacentral:rRNA from 1 species